AGACAGAGAGGCCAGGUCACGUCUCUGCAGUUACACAGCUCAUGAGUGCCUGCUGGGGUGGAACCUGGUCUGUCUGUCU
ensembl:miRNA microRNA 370